GCAGAGGCUCAUCUCCUGCAAGCAGUUCGAGGACGGCCGCCUCUCUUCCCUUUCCCCCUUUGCUCUCUAUAUAACGCCCCUUGCAGUUUAGGGUUGCGCCAUUCUACCACCAACCAACUUCCCUUUCCCCCUUUGCUCUCUAUAUAACGCCCCUUGCAGUUUAGGGUUGCGCCAUUCUACCACCAACCAACUAAGAAUCUGAAGGCGGCUUCAAUCCUCUCCACCGCCGACGGGCUUCGGUUGCAGCGUAUGUAUCGAUUGAUGAGAGGAUAGUACGUGGUGUGUCAGAUGUCGACACGUGGACACUUGCUUCACAUCAUCGUCAUGCUUAAUAGGUCUCCACAUGAGGUUAGACGUGCCACGACCCUUCGAUAAGCUUGAUAGUAUAAACAGAGCUUUCUCACCGUCGUUGCAGGCAAGGCUACGAAAGGCCAACCAGUUGAAGCAAUGCUCGCAGAAAAGAGACAUCCACGUAGAUGGAUGAUCACAUUCCACGUGGACGGACGGCAUUAAAGACUUCACAGUGCAUCCCCCCUGUGAGCCUCCGGCAGAUGCAUGAAUAAUCUUUAAUUAUGAUUCGGACGAUGACUCAUUCGAUAAUAGAUUAACAAUUUUAUAUUAAAUCUUAAUCGUCACAAGUUUAAGAUA